CAUGGGCGCGCAGGGGUGCGCGUCGGGCCGCGGGACCCGCAAAGUUUGCUAGCCGGCCGGGCGGGAAGGGGUUUGAGACCCGAGUCUCUGAAUUCGGCCUGAGGGCAGUGGAGCCCAGAGGGGAGGCUCGGCCCCGCCAGAUGCCGCCCGCAAAGUUGAAAAGAAGAAAACUUCAGCUCCAGGGAGAUUCGGACCUAAUGCUAACCGCGCCCCCCAAACCCUGCAACCCUGAAAGAAGCCCUGCACCCUCGCCUACCUUCGUGCUCGGCUCGGAACGGGCCCCGGAGCCCGGGCGCCGGGAACCGCGGUGACUGCGUCGGCCAGGAGAACCCAACCAGGGGGCGGGGAGGGGCGGGGAGGGGCGGGGGGCGGGCAACGUGGCCACGGGAGGAAGUUUCUUGAAGUUGUCCGCUCAUUCCGGAGCUCGGCCAGCGACCCGGCCGGAUCGCAGAGGCCUCCUUGCCUGGGAGAAGUAGAAGUUAGGGUGCUAGGGGAGAAGGCGCCCCGAGCCCGAGAGGCAGACUUUGCCAUUUUUUCUUUGCUUUUCUCUCGCCUUCUGGGCGCGCCGCCGGGAUCGGACUUGGGCAGCAGAGGAGGAGGAAAGAUCGGGGUCGCCAGCGCCGCUCCUCCGGGCAUAGCAAGCCCAAGCCCAGGACCCAGAGCCGCCUAGACUGUGUGCCGGGACGAAGCUCCGGGCGGGGUACUGGACCCCACUAGGAUUAUACAGCAGCGCGGAGCGGGAGAGGACCCCGGAGGACACCCCCUCCGGACUGGACACCAUGUGGAGGCUGCUGGUCUGUACUCUGCUGGCUCUCCAUCGGAUUCGCGUGGCCGGAGCCCAAGACGAUGUGUCCCCAUAUUUCAAGACGGAGCCUGUGCGGACACAGGUGCACCUGGAAGGGAACCGCCUGGUGCUCACAUGCAUGGCUGAGGGCAGCUGGCCGCUGGAGUUCAAGUGGCUCCACAACAACCGGGAGCUGACCAAGUUCUCCCUGGAGUACAGGCAAGUUGAGUCGCCUCCCUGUCCAGAUGGGGAACAUCAGGGUGCGGGCUUGGCCACAGACUCCCCCUCCAGUGCUCCUGGGCAGCGGGUGGCUGUCUGGUGGGCCAGGGGGCUCCCUAUAGAAUGGCGGA
rnacentral:lncRNA from 1 species